CCCUUAGAUGUCCUGGGCCGCGCGCGUGCUACACUGAUGCAUACAGCGAGUACUCCCAGCUCCGAGAGGCUGCUGGUAAUCAGCAAUAUGCAUCGUGAUGGGGAUAGAUCUUUGGAAUUAUAGAUCUUGAACGAGGAAUUCCUAGUAAUCGCAGGUCAUCACCCUGCGUUGACUAAGUCCCUGCCCUUUGUACACACCGCCCGUCGCUCCUACCGAUUUCGAGUGAUCCGGUGAAUCAUUCGGACCGCGGCCCCUAGGCAUGCGGAAAGUCUAGUAAACCAUAUCACUUAGAGGAAGGAGAAGUCGUAACA
rnacentral:rRNA from 1 species